rnacentral:lncRNA from 1 species
AUCUCAGGGCCAAACCGAUAGGAAACGAGGCUGCCUCGCGGUGGCACCGCCACCCCCCAACCGGGUUCCGAGCACCGGAGCUGGCUGCUGCUCCCUCUUUGGAGCAAAGUUUUAUGCAAAGAGGGUGUUUUUUGAAACUUUCGGUGCACGGUGAUUUUUUUUUUUUAAGGUCCCAUAAUUAGGAAGAGUCGACUCGCUUAGGCCCUUGUUUAUUCCCUAUCUAGUGCAAAGCCACGAAUUGGCAGCAUGUUUUCUGACCUUUGGUUUGGUUGGUUUAAAAUGGUGUUCUAGAUUUUAAAAUCGUUUAAGUGACCAGUUAGAUACUCAUUCAGAGCAGACUCGGGCGGAUAGAUAGGGAAUACUGUAUGGGUAUAUCUUUGUGUCUAGACUUUUUGAGAUCGCCCUGAAGGACUGUUUUUGUUUUGUUUUGUUUGCUUGGCAUAGCCCCUUCAAGGAAUUUAAUCUCUCGGCCAUAUUCUUGUCUGAUUUUACGGAGAAAAAUAACUAAACAUGGGCAAAGGAGAUCCUAAGAAGCCGAGAGGCAAAAUGUCAUCAUAUGCAUUUUUUGUGCAAACUUGUCGGGAGGAGCAUAAGAAGAAGCACCCAGAUGCUUCAGUCAACUUCUCAGAGUUUUCUAAGAAGUGCUCAGAGAGGUGGAAGACCAUGUCUGCUAAAGAGAAAGGAAAAUUUGAAGAUAUGGCA